AACGAAUUUCAAUUUUCAAUGUAAAUAUAUUAGCUGAAACUCAUAUGCAUAUUCAGUUUAUGAAAAAACUUCGGAGGCCUAGAAAGUAAACUUUCCAAACAAAAAUAAAUUUCAAUAAUAAAAAUGUUCACCUUUCGCGCUUUGUUGAUCAAGUCAAUAAUCGUUGCUAUGGUUGUGUUGGAAUUAGCAGCGGCUGAGUCGAGUGUCGUCACACUCUUCAAGAAAUCUUUUCGUGAAGAUUGCCUAGCUGAUGGUUGCGGUUGCGGAAAGUAAUUCUUUGAAAUCUUGUUUAAAAAUAUUCAAGCGGCUGUGAUUUUAGUAUUGUUAAUACAUAAGUUAAAUAAACUAUUUAUUCAUAUUUCAAAAA